ensembl:miRNA
CAUGCAGAGGUCAGCUGCUUUGACAAUGUUGCACUACUGUACCAUGCGCUAAAGCAGUGCAAUAGUAUUGUCAUAGCAUUUGGCCUUUGUCCUGCACUA